CGGCAAUGGUGGGCAGCGAGGGAGGGCUGCAGCAGGAACGGCGGCUGGAAGGGCAGGGAGGAGCAGAUCCCGCAGGAUUUAAAGAUGUGUCUGAGACUCUGCAGCUGUAGCAGGAGCCACAGGGAAUGAGUUAUGGCACCUGGGAGCUCCCUGCAGGAUGGGGAAAGGGGCACCCAGGGACAGCACAGCAACGUGGGAGCUCCCAGACCAGGCUUUGGCAGCCCACACCUCCCCAAGGAGAGUGAGGAUGGAAAAGGUUGCACAGAGAAUCCAUCUUCCUGCUGGACUGGUCAGUCCCACAGCCAGGAAAACCCUUCCUGGAAGCCGGUGGAAUUUUUUCCUGCUUGCUUCUUUGGUUUUUAUUAUUUCUUUUUUUUUACUGUCAAGGCCCAUCUGGAGGCUACAAAUGCCCUGCAGGUCUGUAAGAGAUGGGCUUUGAACACAUCCCAAAAAGUUCUGCUUGGAGUGCCACCGUGGGAGCUGGUGGCACUGACACCCCCAUGGACCCAGGGACAUCCAGGAGAGCAGCAACCCCAGCCUGGCCUCGGGGGGUUGUUGCCUUUAAAUACCUCCAAAGGAAGAGGGAAAAAAAGACAAGGGAAAAAAUUCCAAGCAGCAAACAAAAUAAAUCUUCCUCUCCAAGCCAAAA